CUGAGCCCCACCCCGGCACCCCAUAAUUUGUUAAUGAUGUCAUCAACGAACCUGUUCCCGGGAUUCUGCUGAGUGCAGGUGCGGCCCGCAGGGCAUCUGUGGACAAGCAUGGAGGGAACGAAGGGAAGCCUCGUUCAGCCUGGUUCCUUCAUCUAAGCCUUCAAACUAUGACUGAGAUGUGCCAGAGUGAUGUGCAGACAGUGGUGACAUCUCUGUGACUAAUGAAACCAGGACGUGACCCCGUGGGAGCUCAGCUUCGUGCCCCCGGCCAAGGGUGGGGAGACUUGAGGGGUGGUCGCUGUUUGCUUUCUCUCUGAUUUCCUCACCCCCAGAAGACCAGGCUUCUAGAAAUAAUUGUUGUCUCCCUUUCCCCGAGAGUCCCAAGAGCUACUUUUGCAGGAAUAAUGUCACCCCCCGAAAGGAAAGGGACACGGAGCCUUGGUUUUCAGAUGUAAAAACCACGACCGCACGCCCGUUUCCGAGUUUCCAAUGCCUGGUGAAAACGGAAGACGGAUGUGCACUGCCCGGGACGGUGCUGAGCAGGCAGCGGACUGUUGGACAAAGACACGGCGCAUGGGAGACCCCGCGGCCGCCGACCCAGCCUGGCCAGGCCAACCCACGCCGACCGGUCCGCAUGCGGAUGGCCACGUCCGUGGGGAGGAAGGGGCGCCAUCGCAGAGGCACGAGCUACAAACUUCCUGUGCAGUUUUGCAAAGCCACGCGGUGUCUCCCGAACCCCAUCGGCUUGUUUUGUUCACUCCUGUUAUUUCGCCGUUUCAGUAAUGAGUGUUUAUCAUGUGUUACGCGGUGUCAUCCAUGACAGACUGGAAAUUAGAAAAGGAAGAUCAGCGGUCAAGCGGGCCGGGAGGUGGCAGACACAGUCACAGGGAAGCCCCGCACCCCCUCCCCACCUCCACCCCCAGGGACUGGACGACACCAACGAUGAGCUGAGACACGCCUUCCUAGGGGAUUAAUUUUAUGGCUCCCUUUUUUGGGAACGAUCUCUAGGCAUCAGCUUUUCUGUUCUUUUUGUUUGGUAAACUCAGGGCGUCGUGGAAACGAGCACACGCCUGCUCGCGGCCAGUCCCUCCAUCCUGAGGCUCCCAGCUGGGAAACCGUCCCAGAGACGACACCAGUUGAGAAGUGAUCCCAGACAGGGUCCCUGAGAGGCCACCAGAACACGGGGCCCCGGCCUCUCCGAGCAUUGCCGGGGUCAGCGGUGAGCACUGUCCGGUUGACAAAGAGGUUAUACCCCAAGUUCCACUGUGCAUUAGUGGUUCGGAACUUAGAAUUCCAUUUUGUGGAAAUAGUGUUAGAAAGCGAGCCUAUCAGAGCCCACUUAACUCAUAAUCUAGCUGAGGCUUUAAAGAAAUCUUUCUCAAAAAGUAUUCCGAAUCUCCCUGAAGCCUGGCCACUCCCGGCUGAUCUCUGCCUCUGGACUUGCUCUCGCCUAAUCAACCUUCAGGCCGCGGUCAGAGAGACCCUGCGACAGCUCUCUGUGACCGCCCACCGCACAGCCCUGGCGGGCCCCCUGGGAGCCCCGCUUCAGCCCGGCUGCGCCACCUCCCUGCCUGGUUGGUGGUUUCACCGGCUGCCCAACAGCCAGAGCACGAGGGGCCUCCCAGGGCGUGGGGCCCCUGUCCCCCACCCCUGCACCAGCAGAUUCUGCUUCCCUGUGUCUGAUCGCACCUGCCCAUCCUUCGGGCUUGGCUAAGAAGAACGUUCCUCAAGUAGAUUUUCUUAGCCCGAGGACUCUCCUCCAGCAAUAUUAGUCCAAGACUCAGGCAGCCCAUUGUCUCACUUGGAACUGUCAGGAAUCAAGUGGUGACGGAGGCUCUCCUUGUCCGGGCAUGGUUUUUCCAUCACGGAACCGAGACCCGGAGAAGUGAAUCCUUUUCCAACCUCAGGCCGCUGUGGCCGUGGAUUACCGAACUUGGCAAAAGCCAGCUUCUUCUAAAGGUGGAGAGACUACGAUAACGACCCCCAUGCACCCUUCGUCUGAUGUGAGCCGCUGGCAAUUCGUAGACCUCGUUCUGCCCAUCGAAACCCUCACCUCCCACCCCAGCGAACCCGAAUGCCGUAUGUUCUAAUGUGAAUUUAUGGAUCUAAACGUAUGUGUUGUAUUUCGAUCCACUUUGAUGAUCACAUCAUCCCAUCUGUGGUCAGGAGAAGCCUCCUAACUCCUCAGGGUGCGGUGUGACAGAGCGUCCCCGGCUCCCUCGUGUGCGCACGGGCCCAGGUCAGCCGAUUCUCCAGGGGACUCUAGUUUCUCCACCGAGAAAUGGUGUCUCAAGACCGCACUGCUGGAGCGUGUAAUUACACACAAACACACAUGUGAGUGUGCAUGGCGACCUUGCUGUGUCUGCACCCCCUCUUGUAUGUAUCACAGAGAUCAUUACUGAGAAACAGUCA